rnacentral:misc_RNA from 1 species
GAUGAAGAACGUAGUGAAAUGCGUUAAGUAAUGUGAAUUGCAGAAUUCAGUGAAUCAUCGAAUCUUUGAACGCACAUUGCGCCCGCCAGCAUUCUGGCGGGCAUGCCUGUUCGAGCGUCAUUUCAACCCUCAAGCUCUGCUUGGUGUUGGGGCCCUACGGUUGACGUAGGCCCUUAAAGGUAGUGGCGGACCCUCUCGGAGCCUCCUUUGCGUAGUAACUAACGUCUCGCAUUGGGAUUCGGAGGGACUCUUGCCGUAAAACCCCCAAAUUUUCUAAUGGUUGACCUCGGAUCAGGUAGGAAUACCCGCUGAACUUAAGCAUAUCAAUAAGCGGAGGA